rnacentral:lncRNA from 10 species
CGGUCCCACCACUUCCAGAAGGUGGGCAAGAAGCCGGAACUCACGCUGGUCUGGGAGCCUGAGGACAUGGAGCAGGAGCCAGCACAGCAGGGUCCUUUAGAGAACCUGAUGAAAGCUAUGAGUUUACACCCAAGAAAUUGUCUGGAACCGUUUUCACCAACAGUGUGCCCUGAACGCGGACCCAGGCCCUCAGGUUGUGUUUCAUAAGCCUUGGGAGCGCUCAGGAUGCAUCUGACUCCCCAACUCUGCCCUGACCCAGGGCAUUCUUCCUGGAGGGGGCCCCCAUUACAGACAGGCGAGCAGAGGCUUCCAGAGGCCGAAGGAGGGGCCAGGGGUCCUGCUGCAGGGAUGGAGGCAGAGCUGCGCCUCGACAUCAGGCCCUGCCAUCCUUGUCCCCUCACGGCUGGGCUCUGCACAGGUCAUCACCAUCUUCAGCCUGGUGGAGGUGGUCCUGCAGGCAGAGUCCACAGCCCUCAAGUACAGCGCCAUCCUGAAGCGGCCAGGCACCCAGGGCCACCUGGGCCCUGAGAAGGAGGAGGAGGAGUCUGACGGUGAGCCCGAGGACUCAAGCACCAGCUGAGCUCCACCAGCCGCCUGCCCCGCCUGCCCCGCCUGCCUGUCCCGCCACACUGGCUUUAGGACCUGUUGACACGGAGGGGGGUUUUUAAUUUGGUUUUUAACAACUCAGGGGUUUGUUUUUAUUUUUAUUUAAUUUUUGCAGCUCAACUUUUAAACAAACUGCAGGGGAGAGGGUGGGGCUGGAAGGAAGGCUGAGGCCUGGUCAGCAGUGACCCCAGCAGAGCAGGCCCCAGUCCUCCUGGGAGGCUGGCCCCCCUUUUUUCUGGGCCCUACUGCCCUCCUCUGCCCAGGAAAUGGGGGGGUUUCAGCAACUCAGUGUCACAGAAUAAAAUCAAGUGUGGAGU